CCUACAGGUGGCAGCAGUGAGGAAUAUUGGUCAAUGGACGCAAGUCUGAACCAGCCAUGCCGCGUGCAGGAAGACGGCUCUAUGAGUUGUAAACUUCUUUUGUACGAGGGUAAACGCGGAGACGCGUAUCUGUCUGAAGGUAUCGUACGAAUAAGGAUCGGCUAACUCCGUGCCAGCAGCCGCGGUAAUACGGAGGAUUCAAGCGUUAUCCGGAUUUAUUGGGUUUAAAGGGUGCGUAGGCGGUCGGAUAAGUUAGAGGUGAAAUCCCGAGGCUCAACUUCGGAGUUGCCUCUGAGACUGUUCGGAUAGAGAGUAGUUGCGGUAGGCGGAAUGUACGGUGUAGCGGUGAAAUGCUUAGAGAUCAUACAGAACACCGAUUGCGAAGGCAGCUUACCAAGCCACUUCUGACGUUGAGGCACGAAAGCGUGGGGAGCAAACAGGAUUAGAUACCCUUGUAGUC
rnacentral:rRNA from 1 species